UACGGAGGGUGCAAGCGUUAUCCGGAUUCACUGGGUUUAAAGGGAGCGCAGGCGGGCUGGUAAGUCAGUGGUGAAAGCCUUGAGCUUAACUCGAGAACUGCCAUUGAUACUAUCAGUCUUGAAUAUUGUUGAGGUUUGCGGAAUGGGUCAUGUAGCGGUGAAAUGCAUAGAUAUGACCCGGAACACCUAUUGCGAAGGCAGCAGGCUAAACAAAGAUUGACGCUGAGGCUCGAAAGCGUGGGGGAUCAAACAGG
rnacentral:rRNA from 1 species